AUUGAACGCUGGCGGCAGGCCUAACACAUGCAAGUCGAGCGGCAGCGGGAAAGUAGCUUGCUACUUUUGCCGGCGAGCGGCGGACGGGUGAGUAAUGCCUGGGAAAUUGCCCAGUCGAGGGGGAUAACAGUUGGAAACGACUGCUAAUACCGCAUACGCCCUACGGGGGAAAGCAGGGGACCUUCGGGCCUUGCGCGAUUGGAUAUGCCCAGGUGGGAUUAGCUAGUUGGUGAGGUAAUGGCUCACCAAGGCGACGAUCCCUAGCUGGUCUGAGAGGAUGAUCAGCCACACUGGAACGGAGACACGGUCCAGACUCCUACGGGAGGCAGCAGUGGGGAAUAUUGCACAAUGGGGGAAACCCUGAUGCAGCCAUGCCGCGUGUGUGAAGAAGGCCUUCGGGUUGUAAAGCACUUUCAGCGAGGAGGAAAGGUUGAUGCCUAAUACGUAUCAACUGUGACGUUACUCGCAGAAGAAGCACCGGCUAACUCCGUGCCAGCCGCCGCGGUAAAAC
rnacentral:rRNA from 1 species